UACGGAGGGUGCAAGCGUUAUCCGGAUUCACUGGGUUUAAAGGGUGCGUAGGCGGGCAGGUAAGUCAGUGGUGAAAUCUCCGGGCUUAACCCGGAAACUGCCAUUGAUACUAUUUAUCUUGAAUACUUUGGAGGUAAGCGGAAUAUGUCAUGUAGCGGUGAAAUGCUUAGAUAUGACAUAGAACACCAAUUGCGAAGGCAGCUUACUACACAGUUAUUGACACUGAGGCACGAAAGCGUGGGGAUCAAACAGG
rnacentral:rRNA from 1 species